rnacentral:rRNA from 1 species
GAUGAACGCUGGCGGCGUGCCUAAUACAUGCAAGUCGAGCGAACGGACGAGAAGCUUGCUUCUCUGAUGUUAGCGGCGGACGGGUGCGUAACACGUGGAUAACCUAACUAUAAGAAUGGGAUACUUUCGGGAAACCGGAGCUUAUACCGGAUAAUAUUUUGCACCGAGUGGUUCCCACGUUAAAGACGGUCUUGCUGUCACUUAUAGCUGGCUCCGCGCUGCAUUCGCUAGUUGGUAAGGUAAAGGCUUACCAAGGCAACGAUGCAUAGCCGACCUGAGCGGGUGAUCGGCCACACGGGAACUGAGACACGGUCCAGACUCCGACGGGAGGCAGCAGUAGGGAAUCUUCCGCAACGGGCGAAAGCCUGACGGAGCAACGCCGCGUGAGUGAUGAAGGUCUUCGGAUCGUAAAACGCUGUUAGUAGGGAAGAACAUAUGUGUAAUUAACUGUGCACAUCUUGACGGUACCUAAACAGAAAGCCACGGCUAACUACGUG